ACCUCAUGGCUCGAGUAGUCCAGUAUUUUUUUUUACAGUCAAUGGUUUAACCCAAUGAGUUCUAUAGUCUCGAGACGCUACACCAGCCUGUUAGCAUUGUCCAGUGUACGUGAAGAGUGACGCCAUAUUGGAGAGGUCAGUAAACAAUGAGACACGGCUUAGCAGAGACAGUAAAAUGAACAGAAAAUUGUUAAUUUUGGUCUGAUUUUAAAAAGAUAAAAACUCUGAUCAACACAAAAAUAACAUCUAGAACGUGGUGUUGAUGUUUGUGUACAAAGAAGAAAGAAACAAAAAGAACCAAACCUUCACGUGUUGCAGCAACAGUUUCCAUGUUUGUGAGGAUCUUGUGAAGAACAGCUCAGUUCCAGAUCACAUCAAGAUGUUUGAUGUUAUUCUCAUUCCAGGAAAUCAUCUCUGUCUCCUUUGAUCUGUGCUGAGUCAGCACUUUCACUCCUUUUUCUUUAGACUUGAUAUCAAUCAUUAAGUAUUUAUUGAUCAAGAGGAUUUGUGGACAGAAAAUUUAAAGUAAAUGUAUUGAUCAUCCAGUAAGUCUUUUAUUUUGAAAUUCUUCAAGGAGGAUCAUCAUGGUGGAUUUCUAGAUCUGCAUGAACUCAUCCUAAAUCCAAAAGAAUCAAAGCCACUUCCUUCACUCUUCAUCAGCAUGAAGAUCCAGGUUUGAUCCAGGCUUCCUGUGGUGGAGCGGUCGUCACCGUCAAGAAACUGUUGGUGGUUUGAUUCCAGGUGGAAGCUCCUCGUUCCUCUCUCACACUGACGUUUCUGAUGUUCAGACUCAUGGUUCAGCUGCAGAACUGUUAGAAGGUGCGUGGACUCAUCAGAUCCGGACCUCCUGGUUCUGGUGGGAGCAGAAGAACUGCUUUGUUCUUCAGAAAGCUUUUUCCAUGGCUCAGCAGACAGACCUCAGCAGCUCAUCCAGAACGUCAUGACAGCCGUCAGGAUUUGAGAUCUAAGGGGACUUUUUUUCAGCUCUCUGAACCAGAACCGUAAACUAUAGGUCACCUCCGUUCUCUUCUCCUGCAGAGAACAAUGAGCUUCCUUCAGCAAUGAGUGGAGGUAGAAUGAUCUUUCAUUCUUCAGCAGCACCAGGAUCCACAUCCAGCCCAUCACCAGCAGAACAUCAGUGACAUCAGAGUCUGAUCUUCAUCAGAUCCUCAUUAAAGGACAACCUCCACGUUUUGACUCUAAUGGAUUUCUCUGCUUCUUCCCAUCAACUGGAUUGUCAAACAUUUUCAUUUAAUCAUCAGGAGAGUUCAGCUGGAGGUGAAGAAUGAAACAUUUUCAAACAUCAGUUUUAUUCAUGUUUCAUUCAAGUCUCUGAUGAUGAGAUUUGAAUAGUUUUUAUUUUUAUUUAUAUCCAUUUUUUUCUGGUUAAAUGUUACUUUUUGAACAUGCUUUUAUUUUGAAACAAUGAUAACUGUUGUUAUGCUGCACUGAAUUGUGUUCAAUGUGUUUUGUGUCCUGUUUUCAAUUGUAAUUGUAGUGAAACAUGGCCGCUGACACGGACAAACAGAA